rnacentral:lncRNA from 1 species
UUUUAUAAUCAAGUUUUUUUUAUAUUUUAAAUUCGGCCCUGCUGUUUUGCCCUGAUUUCGUUCUGGUCCCUCACGCUGCGCAGCGUUUUAAUACAUGGGUUUAUUGCGCUUUUGACCCUUCAAGUUGCACGUGUGUUACAAUUAAGUCCAUUUUCUUUGUUUUUAUUUUAAAUUGGCCCCAUAACUUCGAUUUUAUUUUAAUUUUAGUCCUUUUUCUUACCUUUUCUCAUUUUUAAUGUUAUUGUAUUUAUUAUUACCUAUUACUUUAUUCUUAUUUUAUUUUUAUAUCAUUAUAUUUUAUCCACUUUUUAUAUUAUUAUUAUUAUUAUUAUUAUAUAUAUUUUAAUCUUACUUGUCAUAUUUUUCUUUUACACUAUUAUAUAC